AGGUGACCUGCGGAGGGAUCAUUACCGAGUGAGGGCCACCCCCUGGGUGGCCCGACCUCCCACCCCAUGUUAUCCGACCCUGUUGCCUCGGGGGCGACCCGGCCUUCGGGCGUCGGGGCCCCCGGUGGACCACACAACCCUGCAUCGUGGCGUCCGAGUGAGAUAUUGAAUCAAUCAAAACUUUCAACAACGGAUCUCUUGGUUCUGGCAUCGAUGAAGAACGCAGCGAAAUGCGAUAAGUAAUGUGAAUUGCAGAAUUCAGUGAAUCAUCGAAUCUUUGAACGCACAUUGCGCCCCUUGGUAUUCCGGGGGGCAUGCCUGUUCGAGCGUCAUGACAACCCUCAAGCCUAGCUUGGUAUUGGACGGCCGCGGACCCCCCGGGGGCCGCGCGUCCCAAUGUCUCCGGCCGAGCCGUCCGUCUCCGAGCGUUGUGAUCUAACGAUUCGCUUAGGAGCCCGGGCGGCGCGACGCCGUCAAAACCCCUUCUAUCAGGUUGACCUCGGAUCAGGUAGGGAUACCCGCUGAACUUAAGCAUAUCAAUAAGCGGAGGAAAAGAAACCAACAGGGAUUGCCCUAGUAACGGCGAGUGAAGCGGCAACAGCUCAAAUUUGAAAUCUGGCGCAAGCCCGAGUUG
rnacentral:rRNA from 1 species